CAAUAAUUUGUUCUAUAUUGUUGUAUUAAGGUAUCCACUAGUCAUUAACUGUGAUAUUUUCUCUCCAGUCUCCUGUCUGACCUUGGAUCUGUCUCCAUCUCUAAUUUAGAGUUUAGUUUCCUGAGGCAGAAACUAUACCUACGACUCAAUAUUUAGUAACAAACAUUGUGCUUGCCCUGAAAAUUGAGCUUCUUCUGUUUCUUUUUUAAAUCUUUUUCUGAAGAUUGUUUUAUUUCCAGAUACACGUCAACACCUUAACCCUUCAUAGUAUUAUAUAAGAAUUUGUGUUAACUGAACUGAUUAUUCAUUUUUUAAGAUUGUGGCUAAAAAAAAAAAAAAAACUAACAUAAAAUUCACGAUCUUGACCAUUUUAAAGUGAAUAGUUCAGUAGUGUUAAGUACUUUCACAUUGUUGUACAAAAGGUCUCCAGAAUGUCUACAUCUUGUGAGACUGACACUGUAACUCAUUAAAUAACUCCUCCUUCCCCCCUCCUACAAGAGGCCCUGGUAGCCACCAUUCUAUGUUUUCUUUCUAGGACUUUGACUAUUUAUUUGUUUGUUUGUUUGUCUUUUUAGGGCUGCACCAGUGGCAUAUGGAGGUUCCCAGGCUAGGGGGGUCGAAUUGGAGCUGUAGCUGCCGGCCUACACCACAGCCAUAGCAAUGCCAGACCCAAGCCAGCCACAUCUGCAACCUACACCACAGCUCACGGCAAUGCCAAAUCCUUAACCCACUGAGCGAGGCCAGCACUUGAACCUACGUCCUUAUGGAGACUAGUCAGAUUUGUUUCUGCUGAGCCAUGAUGGGAACUCUGAAUCUGACUACUUUAAAUCUUCAUUUAAGGGGCAUUUUUAUUUUUUUAAUUUUAUUAUUAUUAUUUGUCUUUUUGUAUUUUUAGGGCCGCACCCAUGUAUAUGGAGGUUCCCAGGCUAAGGGUCCAAUCGGAGCUGUAGCUGAUGGCCUACAACACAGCCACAACAAUGCAGGAUCCAAGCCGGUCUGCAAUCUAUACCACAGCUCACGGCAACACCGGAUCCUUAACCCACUGAGAAAGGGCAGGGUUCGAACCCUCAACCUCAUGGUUCCUAGUUGGAUUCCUUUCUGCUGCACCAGGACAGGAACUUCCGAAGCAGCAUUUUUAAUAAAAAUGUGCAUAUGCAGUCACUAAAGUCAUGACAAUGAUGAUUUUAUACCUUAUAUGUACAGCACUAUAAUUCUCUUAAAGAACUUUCAUAGAGGAGUCCCCUCUUAUCCUCAGGGGAUACAUUUCAAGACUCGUAGCAGUAGGUGUGUAAAACCAGGGAUAGUCCAAACCCUGUCACUUUAGUUUUGGUCCAUACUUAAAUGAUUUUGGCGCUAGUCUUUCAAAAUAUCCAUCAUCAUAUUGCAAAACUUCAAUGUCCUCUUGGAUGAUUUAUCUCAUUGCCUAAAGUCCUAGGUUCAUAGUUCUUCAAUCUCCUAAAAUCUAAGGAUCUUAACCUUGCAUUUUCUGAAUCUUAUCAACCAUGGAACUCUUUGAUUUCAAAACCCUAGGAUUCUAAUAUUAGUCUCUGACCACUACCUUCAGAUUCCUGCCAACCUGUACACAUGAACAGACAUCAAACAGAAACAGCAAAUUCAACAUAUCUAAGUAAUAACUGCUUAGAACCUGAACUAAGGUUGUGCCUCAGGCACCGCUCCAGCCCAUGCACCCUGUCCUGACCUUCUUGCUCGCCUCCCUGACAAGGAGCAGCAGCAGGUCCACACCAACUCCAGCUCCCACCAGCUCCCCUCCUUUAGAUUUUCUGGGUCCUAGAACAGGCACAUGUGCUACAACUUGUGAAAGGCACCAGCUUCCUCUUUAGGUGGCUCAUGUUGCCAAUUAGAUGCUACAAGAUCAAACAGGGUUCCCUUCUAUAACAUGAGUUCCAGUUUGUCUCCUCAGAUUCCAUUUUGUCCCCAUGGGCCCCAGUUCAGCUUUCCUUCCCCUAUUUCAGGUCAAAUUUCUCUCCCAACUACAUGUCCUACUUCAGACCCAUCACCAUGUGCAGAGAGGCCUUCCAGAAAUUACUUCCCAGUUCCUCUUCAGGAUGAUUAGCAACUUUUUCUGAUCUUUCCACCAUCACAUUUGGGACCUUUGUGUCUCUAGAUUCUCCCACAGAUUUGUACAAUCUAAUUCCUGUAAUAAAUCUAGUCUCUAUCAUUCAUAGUGGUUCUCCUUCCCUGAUCUGCAACCUAGACACCAGAAUAGAGGCUUUUGUACAAAAUUCUAAGUCCUUUCUAUGGGGGAGAAAACAAGGUCUUAAAUGCAGAAGAAUCCAAAUCAGAAGAAAUUUUUAUAUUCUUAAACGUGUCUAAAAAAUUCUGAUUUGCUUGGAAAUAAAAGAAAGAGCAGGACUGAAAAACUAGGUGCUAGCCAUGAUUUUUAAUAGCGCCACAUCACUUAAGGAUGGUAUUUAUACCUAUUAACAUGCCUUUCUCUCCUUUCCAGAUAAAAUCCAAGAGACAGUGAUUUAACCUAAUUGAAAUAAUAAUUGAAAUAAUCGCUAACUGAAAUAAACCGAAUCACAAAUGAUUGUCUACUAAUUGGUCUUAUGCUUUCCACCAUCAACUUCAAUCAAACAAUGCAUAGGAGAUUUCAGUACAAAAUAGAAGUUUAAGCCCAUUUAUUUAUUCAACUUCUCUUCCUCUGUAGACCCCGAUAAGACUAUAGUAAAGCAUCUAAAAUUAUAAAAACAACAAUUAAAAGAACAGGAGGAGGACAAUCCACAAACAAGUACUUUGACACAUUUCUGGAAUAUGGAAAUUUGGAAAGAAUAUUUUCAGCUACAGCUGUAGCCUGAAAUAAAAAAAAGAGAGGGGGGCUGCAACAGAUAGGACAAACAACCGGUCCAGCAGAAAUCUAGGGCUGAUUCAGAUUAGAGGCUGAAGGUAGAAAAAAUGGCAGGAGAAAGAGUUGAAAACAGGAAAUUCAUUGAAGACCUGAACAGUCAGACACCUAUCUUCUCUUGCACGAUUACCUGCAGUGGGGCAUUUCACGCUCAUAUCAGAAAGCACAGCCUUCCUUUUGCUAGUACUUGCCAAAAGAGAAAGCAACAGACUCUAAAGUAAAAUCCCAGCUAACAAAUCUCUUUCACAUACAAUGCACACCAUCAGCCUUAUAGUUCCCUUAGUCAUAAAUAUAAAUGGACAGAAACCAGAGCAAAGGCUGCAGGUAACAAAGAAAGACCAAGGAGAAUAGAAAAUUGUCCCCAAAGCAGAAGAGAGCUUUAAGUAAAACUUUAGGGUCCUUGGGUUGGAAGCACUGUAUCCAAAAACCAAGAACACAAAGUUCUGAAAAAAGAAGAAGACCAAACAAGCAAGAGUGGGAAUUCUCAUCGUGGCUCAGUGGUUAACAAAUCUGACCAGGAACCACGAGGUUGUGGGUUCGAUCCCUGGUCUUG
ensembl:lncRNA